GGUCCAGAGCAGAGAUGACUGGGAUAUACAUCUGAAGAGACUUCAAAGUCGUACCAGCCAAUCAGAAGACUUCUCAGGAGUAGCUCCAGGAAGAAAUCCAGGCAGUGAAAAGAACCAUCAUCAGAGAACUCUGGUAUCAGGCAGGAGCAGAUAUUCAAACGCAGUAUUGGCUAAAUGACUGCUUCUACAAACCAUCUGCUUCUGAAUCUCCAGGAGGCAAGAGAAAAGACUGUGGACUCGCCUUGAUGUGAACAACUGGAGUUAUGGAAUUGCCAGUAGAAAAGGAAAAUUAUGCACAAGCAAGUUUGGGGGCACAUCUCCGUUUUCUCUCCAGCAUCCAAGUGGAGAUACUGAGUAAGCUCCCAGAAAGAUAAGACUGGAUUUCAGAAAAGCAGUCUGCAAACUUUAAAAUUUAGAGGUCAAGAAUAAAAGAAAGAACCAUCCAAGGAGAUAGAUGGGAGAACCUUCAGAGUUUUGGAGAAAAAUCAGAAGACUGUGGUGUCCUGGCAGCCAUGUGAGUGAAAAACAUCAAAGAGAAGGGAGAAAUCAACUGCGACAGAUGCUGCAGAAAAGUCACAUAAAUAAUGACAGAGAAUUAAUCAUCGGCUUUAGUAACACAGCUGCCAUGGGUGAUUUUGACAGUUUCCAUGCAGUGAUGAGGGCAAAAGGUAAGAGUCAGGAAGUAGCCAAGAAUGCCAGCUGCAGAGACAGAAAUUAGAUGGGACAUUGUCCUGAAAGGUAGAGGAUUCAAAAGACAUAGCAUCUAGCAUCUUAAGACUCUGACUCAUCUGUGUUCAUAAUCUUAAGACAUAUCCUUCCCCCAUACACAGAGCCACUAUCUGAGGGAGAUGACUGGGGAAUUCUGAGGUCAUUUGAUAAACUGAGCACUAGUUGUGUUUUGUGGGUUGUUUUUUCUUUUAUAAUUUUUGCCAAAAGAGACUGAAUACUGAAUAAAGCCUUUGUUUAAAUUAGCACAGUGGACUAAGCUUUCAACCAAAGUUAACAGUUUUUCUUCUUAUCAGCAGGGGUACAGAAAAAACAAAUCAACUAUAUAAAAUAAAACUAAAGGAGCCACAUUGUAUCUUCAUAUUGGAUUUGUUGCCUGUGUUAAGUUUCUGACCUACAUGGGGGUGGAAUUUCCAAUAUAUUUUCACUAAUAAGCUUUCCAUAUCAUAUUCAGAGCUUAUAGCUGAAAAGUUUUUCAAGCAGAUCUGAUCUUUUCCUUGCAAUUAUUUUGGCAACUCUAAAGCUAUCUCUUACUAUUGAUAUAUGAAAUUGAAUAUUUCCAGAUGAAAUCCUAAAGGGUGAAUUCAGAAUGUUAAGUUUGAAAAUGAAUUUUAUCUGAAAAGUAUAGAGAUAGUAGAAACAGGGUAAAAAUUGGAAAACUCAAAAAUGAGAAACAAAAAAAUGCAAGAUGUACUUGAUUGGCAGUGGAUGAUACAGACCUAGAGAACUACUGAACAUGCAGGUAAAUACACAUGAUAUUUUUUUACCUGCUUCAGAUAUUUGUAUGUAUAUUUCAAUUCUAUUUAAUAAGGCAUAUAUCUCACAAUAUUACAGAAAGUAAAUAAAGAAUUAAUAACAAGCACUGAAA